CGCGGCGGGCGGUGACAGAAGAGAGUGAGCACACGGCCGGGCGGAACGGCACCGGCGGAUGGUGCCGUCGCGGACGCGUGCUCACUGCUCUAUCUGUCAUCCACUCUCUCCCCCGCU